rnacentral:tRNA from 1 species
GGGGGUUUAGCUCAGCGGCAUAAGCACCUGCCUUGCAAGCAGGAGGUCGUGAGUUCGAUCCCCGGUACCCGUA